CCACCACCAAAGCAUUUGCUGUACCGCGUUGACGGAGCGAAGCGACGUCAAACCGAUAAAACAGCAGUGUAAAGUGAGCCGCAGGGCGCUUUGCGCGACAGCGCAAAGGCAGGCGGUUUCGCGUAGCGAAAGCGAAUGCUUUGGGGUGGGGUGACUGCGUACCUUUUGUAUAAUGGGUCAGCGACUUAUAUUCUGUAGCAAGGUUAACCGAAUAGGGGAGCCGGAGGGAAACCGAGUCUUAAUUGGGCGUUAAGUUGCAGGGUAUAGACCCGAAACCCGGUGAUCUAGCCAUGGGCAGGUUGAAGGGUGGGUAACACUAACUGGAGGACCGAACCGACUAAUGUUGAAAAAUUAGCGGAUGACCUGUGGCUGGGGGUGAAAGGCCAAUCAAACCGGGAGAUAGCUGGUUCUCCCCGAAAGCUAUUUAGGUAGCGCCUCGUGAAUUCAUCUCCGGGGGUAGAGCACUGUUUCGGCUAGGGGGCCAUCCCGGCUUACCAACCCGAUGCAAACUGCGAAUACCGGAGAAUGUUAUCACGGGAGACACACGGCGGGUGCUAACGUCCGUCGUGAAGAGGGAAACAACCCAGACCGCCAGCUAAGGUCCCAAAGUCAUGGUUAAGUGGGAAACGAUGUGGGAAGGCCCAGACAGCCAGGAUGUUGGCUUAGAAGCAGCCAUCAUUUAAAGAAAGCGUAAUAGCUCACUGGUCGAGUCGGCCUGCGCGGAAGAUGUAACGGGGCUAAACCAUGCACCGAAGCUGCGGCAGCGACACUGUGUGUUGUUGGGUAGGGGAGCGUUCUGUAAGCCUGUGAAGGUGUGUCGUGAGGCAUGCUGGAGGUAUCAGAAGUGCGAAUGCUGACAUAAGUAACGAUAAAGCGGGUGAAAAGCCCGCUCGCCGGAAGACCAAGGGUUCCUGUCCAACGUUAAUCGGGGCAGGGUGAGUCGACCCCUAAGGCGAGGCCGAAAGGCGUAGUCGAUGGGAAACGGGUUAAUAUUCCCGUACUUGGUGUUACUGCGAAGGGGGGACGGAGAAGGCUAUGUUGGCCGGGCGACGGUUGUCCCGGUUUAAGCGUGUAGGCUGGUUUUCCAGGCAAAUCCGGAAAAUCAAGGCUGAGGCGUGA
rnacentral:rRNA from 1 species